rnacentral:rRNA from 1 species
ACGGGUGAGUAACACGUGGGAACGUACCCUUCGGUUCGGAAUAACGCUGGGAAACUAGCGCUAAUACCGGAUACGCCCUUAUGGGGAAAGGUUUACUGCCGAAGGAUCGGCCCGCGUCUGAUUAGCUAGUUGGUGGGGUAAUGGCCUACCAAGGCGACGAUCAGUAGCUGGUCUGAGAGGAUGAUCAGCCACACUGGGACUGAGACACGGCCCAGACUCCUACGGGAGGCAGCAGUGGGGAAUAUUGGACAAUGGGCGCAAGCCUGAUCCAGCCAUGCCGCGUGAGUGAUGAAGGCCUUAGGGUUGUAAAGUUCUUUUGUCCGGGACGAUAAUGACGGUACCGGAAGAAUAAGCCCCGGCUAACUUCGUGCCAGCAGCCGCGGUAAUACGAAGGGGGCUAGCGUUGCUCGGAAUCACUGGGCGUAAAGGGCGCGUAGGCGGCCAUUCAAGUCGGGGGUGAAAGCCUGUGGCUCAACCACAGAAUUGCCUUCGAUACUGUUUGGCUUGAGUAUGGUAGAGGUCAGUGGAACUGCGAGUGUAGAGGUGAAAUUCGUAGA